rnacentral:rRNA from 1 species
UUCGCAAUGCCCGAAAGGGUGACGAAGCGACGCCGCGUGUGGGAAGAAGGCCUUCGGGUUGUAAACCACUGUCGGGAGUUAGGAAAUGUAAGGGUGCUAAUAGUAUCCUUACUUGACUAAGGCUCCGGAGGAAGCCACGGCUAACUCUGUGCCAGCAGCCGCGGUAAUACAGAGGCGGCAAGCGUUGUUCGGAAUUAUUGGGCGUAAAGAGCACGUAGGCGGCCUUGUAAGUCAGUUGUGAAAGCCUUCUGCUUAACGGAAGAACGGCAGUUGAAACUACAGGGCUUGGGUACGGGAGGGGAGAGUGGAACUUCUGGUGGAGCGGUGAAAUGCGUAGAUAUCAGAAGGAACGCCGGCGGCGAAAGCGACUCUCUGGACCGUAACUGACGCUGAGUGUGCGAAAGCUAGGGGAGCAAACGGGAUUAGAUACCCCGGUAGUCCUAGCCGUAAACGAUGGGCACUAAGUAGAG